CAUCCUUAAAAUACUAGGCCAAGAGGCCACUAAAGAUUAGUUCUUUGACCUUCAAGGACUAGAAAAUUCUUGCAAUAUUUAAUGUGUUCCAGAGCAUAGAUAAAAAUAGAAGUCUUUCCAGUUCAUUUUACUAACUUAGCCUAACCACAUGUGUCAGUCAGCUUCCAGCAAAAAAACAGAUGUCACAUUCACAUUAGAUAAUUUGAAGAGAGCUCCAUAAAGAUGUGGAAAGGGUGUAGAAAUGCCAGAUGGAUAUGCAGUCUUGUUACCAACCCUCGGCUUGAAGGGGACAUGGGAGAGGUGAUUAUCAGAACUUAGUAGGAGGGCCUGUUGGGAGUUGUGAUCUCCCGGGAUCUAGAGAGCUUCCCCCGACCUUGGAAAGAAGGAGCUAGGAGAAUAGAUGCCAUCACAUCAUUUUCCUUCCGCCCUCCGAUUUCGUUCCUAGGUUCUUCAUUGACCAAACCCAACUGGAAGCCAUAGGUCAAUGGAGUCCAUUGGUGUGGUCCAUGUGAGUCAACUUCCUACGGCAGAGAGCAGAUAAAUGUGGAGGUGGCUCUAGAGGGGCAAAUGGAAGUCAUAUUGCAUGCUUUGAUACCACAAUGACUUGAGUACAACCUAAAAAGAAUUGCACAAAGAAUACAAGUGGAGAACAAUCUAACCUAAGAAUAUAGGUGCAAAAAUACUGAAGUAAAAUAAUAGCAAAUUGAUUUCAGAACUUGAUUAUGAUGCUAUUAGCAAAUAAUGUUUUGGUAUUAAAUGGGGUGUUUUUCUAAUUCCAUGUAUAUUUUUUAGGAUCCUUGGUUUUGAUUCUACAUGUUCAAAGGAAAAUUCCCACUCUUUCUUUUCCCUCUUAUUCUCUCCUUCUCAAGGGAGGAGGAAUGCCUUAACUGAUUAGUGUUGAAGAAGUCGUCAUGGCCUGUAGAGAGGCUAGUUCCGCAGAAGCCAAGAUAUGGAAACAACCUAAAUGUCCAUCACCUGAUAUAGAAGAUGUGGUAUAUAUACAAUGGAAUAUUAUUCAGCCACAAGAAAGAAGAAAAUCCUACCAUUUGCUACAACAUGGAUGGAUCUUGAGGGCAUUAUGCUAACUGAGAAACUUGGCUUUGAAUGGGGGAAUCAGACAUGAAGUUCUUAUCAUCAACCAGAGCAUGUGAAGAAUUGAAGAUAAAGUGAAAAUCUUUCCUCUGCCCAGAGCAAGGGAAGAUACAAAACCAUAGGUAAGAAAGGACAAAUGAGAGGCUACCUGAGGUUGGAGGUGAUGGUGGAGGGAAUGGAAAUUCUCAUGGAAUCUUUGGAGGAGCUGACAAGUUUCCAGAGCAGAAGAGGCCAUUUUCUGACUUCCCAAGGUGUGACCUGGGAAAAUGCAAGCCUUAAAGAAGUCUAUUAAAACUAAGACAAUUGGUCCAAUAUGGAGUCGCUUAUGCUAAGUCCUGCCUCACCAAAUUAAGACCUAACUUAAUUAUAGUUUUGGCUCUCUCCCAGAAAUAAAAACUUAAACCAGUCAAUCAGGAAUCACCUGGUCAUCUGCCUGAUAAAUCCCUGCUGUCCCCUAAAGGAAAGUGACUUUGCAAUAACCAACCCGCCUUUUUUUUUUUUUUUUUUUGCUAGUAUAACUUCUUUGUUCCUGCUUCCUUCUGCCUGUAAAAGUCUUUCAUUUUGUAUAGGUACUUGGAGCUCCUUUCUAUCAACCAAUCAGAUGUUGCCUGAUUCAUGAAUUAUUAAAUAAAGCCAAUACGAUCUUCAAACUUUA